rnacentral:rRNA from 1 species
UACGGGAGGCAGCAGGGGGAAUAUUGCACAAUGGGCGCAAGCCUGAUGCAGCCAUGCCGCGUGUAUGAAGAAGGCCUUCGGGUUGUAAAGUACUUUCAGUCGUGAGGAAGGUGUUAAGGUUAAUAACCUUAGCAAUUGACGUUAGCGACAGAAGAAGCACCGGCUAACUCCGUGCCAGCAGCCGCGGUAAUACGGAGGGUGCGAGCGUUAAUCGGAAUUACUGGGCGUAAAGGGCACGCAGGCGGUUAAUUAAGUUGGAUGUGAAAUCCCCGGGCUUAACCUGGGAAUGGCAUUCAAGCUGGUUAGCUAGAGUCUUGUAGAGGGGGUUAGAAUUCCAUGUGUAGCGGUGAAAUGCGUAGAGAUGUGGAGGAAUACCGGUGGCGAAGGCGGCCCCUGGACAAAGACUGACGCUCAUGUGCGAAAGCGUGGGGAGCAAACAGGGAUUAGAUACC